rnacentral:rRNA from 1 species
GAUGAACGCUGGCGGCGUGCCUAAUACAUGCAAGUCGAGCGAACGGACGAGAAGCUUGCUUCUCUGAUGUUAGCGGCGGACGGGUGAGUAACACGUGGAUAACCUACCUAUAAGACUGGGAUAACUUCGGGAAACCGGAGCUAAUACCGGAUAAUAUUUUGAACCGCAUGGUUCAAAAGUGAAAGACGGUCUUGCUGUCACUUAUAGAUGGAUCCGCGCUGCAUUAGCUAGUUGGUAAGGUAACGGCUUACCAAGGCAACGAUGCAUAGCCGACCUGAGAGGGUGAUCGGCCACACUGGACCUGAGACACGGUCCAGACUCCUACGGGAGGCAGCAGUAGGGAAUCUUCCGCAAUGGGCGAAAGCCUGACGGAGCAACGCCGCGUGAGUGAUGAAGGUCUUCGGAUCGUAAAACUCUGUUAUUAGGGAAGAACAUAUGUGUAAGUAACUGUGCACAUCUUGACGGUACCUAAUCAGAAAGCCACGGCUAACUAC